AGCCCAUGCUUAGUAGCGGCGAGUGAGCGGCAAAAGCUCAAAUUUGAAAUCUGGCUCUUUCAGAGUCCGAGUUGUAAUUUGAAGAAGGUAUCUUUGGGUCUGGCUCUUGUCUAUGUUUCUUGGAACAGAACGUCACAGAGGGUGAGAAUCCCGUGCGAUGAGAUGAUCCAGGCCUAUGUAAAGUUCCUUCGAAGAGUCGAGUUGUUUGGGAAUGCAGCUCUAAGUGGGUGGUAAAUUCCAUCUAAAGCUAAAUAUUGGCGAGAGACCGAUAGCGAACAAGUACAGUGAUGGAAAGAUGAAAAGAACUUUGAAAAGAGAGUGAAAAAGUACGUGAAAUUGUUGAAAGGGAAGGGCUUGAGAUCAGACUUGGUAUUUUGUAUGUUACUUCUUCGGGGGUGGCCUCUACAGUUUAUCGGGCCAGCAUCAGUUUGGGCGGUAGGAGAAUUGCGUUGGAAUGUGGCACGGCUUCGGUUGUGUGUUAUAGCCUUCGUCGAUACUGCCAGCCUAGACUGAGGACUGCGGUUUAUACCUAGGAUGUUGGCAUAAUGAUCUUAAGUCGCCCGUCUUGAACAACGGACCA
rnacentral:rRNA from 1 species